rnacentral:rRNA from 1 species
AGCGAACGCUGGCGGCAGGCCUAACACAUGCAAGUCGAACGAACCUUUCGGGGUUAGUGGCGGACGGGUGAGUAACACGUGGGAACGUGCCGUUAGGUUCGGAAUAACUCAGGGAAACUUGUGCUAAUACCGACUGUGCCCUUCGGGGGAAAGAUUUAUCGCCUUUAGAGCGGCCCGCGUCUGAUUAGCUAGUUGGUUGAGGUAAUGGCUCACCAAGGCGACGAUCAGUAGCUGGCCUGAGAGGAUGAUCAGCCACAUUGGGACUGAGACACGGCCCAAACUCCUACGGGAGGCAGCAGUGGGGAAUCUUGCGCAAUGGGCGAAAGCCUGACGCAGCCAUGCCGCGUGAAUGAUGAAGGUCUUAGGAUAGUAAAAUUCUUUCACCGGGGACGAUAAUGACGGUACCCGGAGAAGAAGCCCCGGCUAACUUCGUG